GCCCCGGUGGCUUUGUUGUUAGAGCGUCCGCCUCGGAUGCGCGAGGUCGUGGGUUCGAUUCCCGGUCGAGUCA